AUCCUUUCAAGCUCUUUUGUCAAAUUAGUUUACUUAAUUUAUAUGUUAAUUAUAAGCUCAUUGAUGUUGCAGGCUUCACCUGUUAUGAUUAAUGGAUUCCGCGUCGUUGUUGAGGAAAAGAGAUCUACUUCCCGAGGCAAGCUAAAUUUUAUCGUCAAAUUUUUGUUCCUUUAAGAUCUAUCACCCUAUUCACUUGCAAUGUGUGGGCAUGAUUCUUUUUACUGAUUUGUAACAGUUUUGGCCAAAAUGAUGUCUAGUGAUUUAGCUUGAGCCCAGGAGUUCUAUUUAGAAUAAAGAACUGGAGAUUUGAUCAAAUCAAGAAAUUGUAUGAUAGAACUUCAAUGUCUAUUCUUUUAGGAAAGUUAAUAUAUAGUAACCCCCUACAUUCUAGGAAUUUCAUCAUUUAUAAUCUCCUUAGAGCGUCUAUCAGUUAUAUAUAACAUGGAGGGUUUCUGUUUGAAAAAGGAGCUGAUGUCUUAAGCCAUCAUGCUAUAUAUUAUCAUGCCCCAAACUGAAAUAAUUGUAAGGUAUGCCUAAUGGAAACAAAAAGCAUUUUGGCUUUUUAGUAAUCUGUUCCAAGAGGACCUCAAAAUCCAGGUUAUUCUUACAGAUUGAAGGUGCUUUAUCUAUCUCAGAGUGAAUAUCCUCAGACCAGUUUUUCAUAGUGACAUCUCUAUUUUUAUAAUGUUUCCAUGUAUUGGUCUGUAUGGUGCGGGACAACAUCUGUGCUUGUAAAACUGGAAAAUGUGAUUGAGCAAGAAGUAUAUAAUCUACUCUCUCCAGUUUAAGCAAGAAGUGGUUUUUUCUCUAAUGUGAUUGAGCUUAUCUAUCUCUUUCUCUUCACCACAGGGAACAAUAGGGGACGAUAUCCAUCUGGAUCAGGGGCUGGAUAUAAAAACGAAGGAAUGAGAGCGCGUGGUAAUCUUGGAGGAAAAGUCUAUGGCAGGAUUGAUAGUGGUGGUAACAGGACAGAGUUUGGAAACAGAGGUG
rnacentral:lncRNA from 1 species